rnacentral:rRNA from 1 species
AUUGAACGCUGGCGGCAUGCCUUACACAUGCAAGUCGAACGGCAGCACGGGUGCUUGCACCUGGUGGCGAGUGGCGAACGGGUGAGUAAUGCAUCGGAACGUACCCGGAAGUGGGGGAUAACGUAGCGAAAGUUACGCUAAUACCGCAUAUUCUGUGAGCAGGAAAGCGGGGGAUCUUCGGACCUCGUGCUUUCGGAGCGGCCGAUGUCGGAUUAGCUAGUUGGGGAGGUAAAGGCUCACCAGGGCGACGAUCCGUAGCGGGUCUGAGAGGAUGAUCCGCCACACUGGGACUGAGACACGGCCCAGACUCCUACGGGAGGCAGCAGUGGGGAAUUUUGGACAAUGGGGGCAACCCUGAUCCAGCCAUGCCGCGUGAGUGAAGAAGGCCUUCGGGUUGUAAAGCUCUUUUGUCAGGGAAGAAAUGGUCUGGGUUAAUACCCUGGGCAGAUGACGGUACCUGAAGAAUAAGCACCGGCUAACUACGUGCCAGCAGCCGCGGUAA